UUUUUCUUUUCUUUUCUUUUUUUUUUUUUGGAGACGGUCUCACUUCAUCGCCCAGGCUGGAGUGCAGUGGCACAAUCUCAGCUCAUUGCAGCCUUGACUUCUUGGGUUCAGGUGAUCCUCCCACCACAGCCUCCCAAGUAGCUAUGACUACAGGCAUAUACCACCAUGCCUGGCUAAUUUUUUUGUAUUGAGACAGUGUUUUGCCAUAUUACUCAGGCUGCUUUCAAAUGCCUAAGCUCAAGUGAUCCUCCUGUCUUGGCUCCCAAAGUGCUGGGGUUAUCGGUGUGAGCCACUGGGCCCAAUCAAUUUUCCAUAGUUUGUUCUAAUGGAGAAAGACAAAGAAAUUUACAAAAAGAGUAUUAUUGUAUACCCUGAUUUUUAACUUGUUUUUAAAAAUUUAAACAGUGUGAUGUAAUCUCUCCCUCUGCCCUUAAAAAUUCCUCUAUAACAUCACUUUUAAUGACCUCAUAGUACUCUACUUUAGUCUAUGAAGUAGUUUUCAAUUUUUAGUGUUAAGAAUAAGAUCAAUCAUUUCAACAUUAUGCCAUAUUUUCCUUUCUCCAAGUUCAUAAUACUAUUGUUAAUGACAUUUAUUUUACUUAUUAUCAUAAACAACUUAUGAUAUUUCUUUCUUUUUUUUUUUUAGACGAAGUCUUGCUCUAUCCCAGGCUGGAGUGCAGUGGUGCAAUCUCGGCUCACUGCAACCUCUGCCUCCUGGUUUCAAGCGAUUCUCCUGCCUCAGCCUUCCAAGUAGCUGGGACUACCGGCAUACGCCACCAUGCUUGACUAAUUUUUGUCUUUUUAGUAGAAACAGGAUUUCACCAUGUUGGCCAGUCUGGUCUCGAACUCCUGACCUCAUGAUCUGCCUGCCUUGGCCUCCCAAAGUGCUGGGAUUACAGGUGUGAGCCACCGCACCUGGCAGCUUUUGAUAUUUCUAUACUGCUAUUUAACUUUUUAAUAAACCUGUAUCUUAGUUUUGCCAAAUAUUGCUUACAUAAAUCAGUUUAGGUUAGCUAUUCAGCAGUAGCAAACACCCUCAAAAUCUCAGUGACUUACAAAGACAGCAACAAAAAAGACUUAUUUCUCACUCAUAUUUCAUGUUGGCUAUAGGUUAGCUGUGGAUCGGCUUCAUGUGCUCUUCACUUUGGGACGUAGGUUGAAGGAUCAGCCUCUGUCUGGGACAUGCUAUUCUUUUGGUAGGGAGAAAAGAGCAAUGGUGGAAAUCAUGUGAUGACUCUUAAAGCUUUUGCUGGAAAGUGUUGUUCGGCACUCCACUCAUUAUAUAGAUACAUACUACUGAAGCAAGUAACAGAAUCAAGUUGUCGUGUCAGUGGGUAAAUAAGUAUAAUUCUUUCACAUGGAGAGACACUGACUCAUCGAGAGCAGGAAUAAAAUCCACCUCAGCUCUAAAUUCCUGUGGAUAUGCAUAUUUUGUAUGUUCUUUAUAAAUCAUCA
rnacentral:lncRNA from 1 species